UAGAUUCCUUUCUUCCCCUGCAAAUAAAAUCCUAAUAAGCCCAAUUCCAGAAUUGUCCACCGUAUUCCCGGACUGCGAGGUUAGGGUUUCGCUCAUAUUUCCUUUAAACUAGUAGAUCUUGUAAAUUCGGAUCGACAGGACCUUGUUUUGAGCACUGAAGAUGGCGACUGAACAGAAAGCUGCAACCGAGGACGUGAAGAUGGACCUCUUCGAGGAUGACGAUGAAUUUGAAGAGUUUGAGAUCAAUGAAGGUGAAAUCAUAACCUUGUUUUCAAUUCUUUCUUUUUAUUGUUAUUAAUUUUUUGUACACGGGAUAUAUGAGUUGUUGAUCAAUGUAAUUAUGGAAUUUGAUUAUCGCUUGAUUGGCUCUUCAUUGUUAUAUUUCAGAAGGAUGUUGUUUGAAUGACACUUGUUGCAAGUUAAUCGGACUUCAGACUUUAGUGUGAGAAUAAUAUUUAUGUGGGAAUGAAUACAGAUGAUGAUGUUGAUGAUGCAAAACCUACUGUAUUUUGAAUUUUAACAAUGUUAAUCCGAUUAGGUUUGACGUCACAUUGAUGAGCUGAUUACCCUUUUUUUUUUCUUUUUUUCUGGUGGUUUUGAUCGAAUGGUGAGUUCGACUCAGUACUUUAUUUAAUAGAAGAAUUUUUACUGUUUACAUGAUUGAUUCUCUUUCUUCCACUUGCUAAGUCCUUGGACUUGAUGAAUAUCAGUUUUUGUGGCUAAAUGUGAAGGUGUUCUAACGAUUUUACUCCGGUAACCAAUUCAGUUUGGACCAGAAUUUAGGGACUGAGAUUGCUUAGAUUUGUUCUAGCGAUGGAUACUUACAAAUCAUACUUUCUUAAAUAUGGCUGUACUCUUGCUAAUUGUUGCAGAACUGGUAUAAGAAGUUGUUUAGGAGCUGGUGCUGCGGUUGAGCAUUGAAAGAUAAAUAACUCCUGUAGCCUAAAAUGUGACAUGGAAUAUUACAAUGAUUGUGUAUAAUGUAUAAUUUUGUGAAAUUGCUGGUGAAAUUUAUACAAAUAGACUGGUUAUAUAUAUGAAUUGCUAACCCAAACAUUCUAGCAGAAAAAAAAAAAAGAUAAAUAAUAUUGCCUAGCAUUCAUCUGUGACAGAGCACGUGAAUUUAUAUAGCAGAAUCAAAUUCUGUUUAUUUUGAUAACCUAUUUUUCUUUCUUAUUUUUAUUUAAUUUUGUAACUUUCAUCUUGGUUUCAUUUCUGGUCAUCACAAGGGUUUGAAGUUUUCUGGCCUUUUGUGGUUCAAAGCAGGGAGUCUUAUGCAUGGGAGAAACGCAUUUUUCUUGUUCUUCAUAUCAUGUUGCAUUUUUUGUGACAUUUGUAAGAAUGCUUCUAUUGUUUCUCAUGAUAAUAACAAUGACAGAGUGGGAGGUCAAGGUGGAAGGAAAAGAGGUCACACAGCAGUGGGAGGAUGAUUGGGAUGAUGAUGAUGUCAAUGAUGACUUCUCGCUGCAGCUGAGGAGGGAAUUGGAGAAGAA
rnacentral:misc_RNA from 1 species